GCUUAUGUGGCUCACUCAUUAUUGAACUCUUGGUGCUCUUAUGUUUUGAGUUAUCAUCAUUUUAACCCUAGGAUUGUGAUAUGAGUGCUGGAAUGAUUAUAGAACAGUAGUCUAGAAAGUAAGUUCUAAUUCUAAAAACCCCCUUUACUGUUGUUACUAAAUUUCUUAACAUUGUAUCUAAUUUUUUCACAUAUCCCUUUCUAGAUAUGGGAGGGCACACUUACGAGGACAUAUGAAAUAGGAUGCUUCAAGUUGGUUGACGGAAGGUUUUCAACAUAUGGGAGGAGACACAUAUGAGGACAAAUGAAAUAGGAUGCUUCAAGUUGGUUGACGGAAAGUUUUCAACGCGAGUUAACUGUUGAAAUGAUUCGUCUCCCCUUUUCUUGCUUUCAAUUAUUUGUCGGACUUCUCUUCCAUUGGUGAUGAUGUGGAUUGUGGUACAAAGAGGUCCAUUUGGCUGUAGCAUUAAGGUCUAUUUGGUAGUGACGUAAGAUGAAUUUUGUUGUUGGCUUCCUGUGGGUGGAACUCAUAUAAUGCAAGAAUCACGCACAAGAUUUUAUUGUGUUAGAUAUGUGCAUUUCUUUCCAGACUGGAAUUGAAGAUAAUGAGUGAUUUUUCAAUAUUUAGUUUGAAUAAGGAAAUAUGCUAUCUCAUGCAAGAAUUAUACGGAUGGAUGUGGUGCUGAUGGACGAAGCGUUACCUAAGGAUGUUCUCUAUGAGUUUUCGCUGCUGGUAUUACUUGAAAUUAGUCUAUAAUUGCUUUUCUGGUUGAAUAAUGGAGUUUGAUAUACUCAUUAAUCAUAUACGCUUUCAGGUAGAGGUGGGCAUUUGGGACUGGAUCCAAAAACCCAGCCCAAAAACCAAGUCC